rnacentral:rRNA from 1 species
AUACGGAGGGGGCUAGCGUUGUUCGGAAUUACUGGGCGUAAAGCGUACGUAGGCGGACUGAUCAGUUGGGCGAGAAAUCCCAGGGCUUAACCCUGGAACUGCCUUCAAUACUGUCAGUCUUGAGAUUGGAAGAGGUGAGUGGAAUUCCUAGUGUAGAGGUGAAAUUCAUAGAUAUUAGGAGGAACACCAGUGGCGAAGGCGGCUCACUGGUCCAAUACUGACGCUGAGGUACGAAAGCGUGGGGAGCAAACAGGAUUAGAAACCCUAGUAGUCC